UACAGAGGGUGCAAGCGUUGUUCGGAAUUAUUGGGCGUAAAGUGUGCGUAGGCGGUGCUGUAAGUCUGUAGUGAAAUCUCUGGGCUCAACUCAGAGUCUGCUAUAGAAACUGCAGUGCUAGAGUGUGGGAGAGGUGAGUGGAAUUCCCGGUGUAGCGGUGAAAUACGUAGAUAUCGGGAGGAACACCUGUGGCGAAAGCGGCUCACUGGACCACAACUGACGCUGAGGCGCGAAAGCUAGGGGAGCAAACAGG
rnacentral:rRNA from 1 species